UUUUACUCCAGAGGACAACAGCUGAAUCACGGCUGCGACAGUUGGAGGGAUGGCCAUGGAAAUGCUCUGCUUUUGGAAGAGAGUUUCCUGCAUCUUCAGCCUGCCAGUCUUGGGCAGUUUCAGAGCCAUCAAUAUACAGCUCGGGACAUCCAGAAAUGAAAGCCAUCAACAACCAGCAUCUGUGCAGAUCAGUUUUGGCAUCUGAAGUCUUGCAGGUACUACACCUUGCUUAUAAUGAACUAAAGACAACCUACAGAUAAAACAAUGAGGUUCCUGAAAAUGUUGUCCAUUGCUGAUAUCUGAUCUUCAUCUGAAGGAAACAUAUUUUCUCCCAGAUCUGCAAGUACAAUCCCCAUUUUAAAGAGUCAUUAACAAAACAACUCCAUUAGUGCUAGAUAAGAAAGGUGAGAACAAUUGGUUGGUAGAUAGAAAGCAGUGGUAGUCAAGUUUCACAAGAUUUAAGCAGAGAAGAAAAGCAAGGCAAAUAAAUCAAUUAUUCAAAUACUGGAUAUUCAGAUCUGAUUUGGCAACACUUUUAAACAGAUAGUUAAAGUAUAGAAGGACUUCCCCUCUCAUCAUUAGAACUAAUUACACUCCUCAUAGCCAGACAAAUUCAUCUUUAAAAGAGAAAUUAAAUACUGUACAUGUCCAAAGUAUAAUUUUUCAAAAAUUGUCUAAAAGGCUUAAAAAAAGAUCUGAGUAUCUUCAGUGCUUUGUUACCAAUUUUUACAUGUUUAUUUUCGAUGUUACAUUUUCUUCUCUUGAUCUUUUAGACAAGUGGUAUCAGUACUGAAAGACCCUUCAGUGAGAAGCCUUUGAAGCUCCCUUCUCAGAAUCAAGGUAGAUGUCUGCCUCCCCAGUUGCUGAUUUUACUAGACACAGAUUGUUCUGUUCUGCAGAGCUUCACCUCAGCACCACUGUAUGCCUAAAAUGGGUCUUGAAUUUGCAGAUUAUUUUGUCACCAAUUAAACCCCAAAGUCUGUAAUUGUGAGGUGUGUAAAUUUUCUUUCUUUCACAACUUCUAUUCCUUCACAUCUUAGUGUAAUACUUUAGUGACAGUUUCCUUUUACAGGUCAGUGAACUGUUUGUAAUUCCUUUCAUAAAUGGUCUUUUCUGCCAUUUCUGUGGGAUAUACAAGUCUGACUUACCUAGGUUCUGUUAAAACACUGGGUCUCUCAUGACCAAGCCUGAGCAGCAAGGUGUGUCACUCUAUGUUCCUUCAAGGAAUUUAGUUUCUUGUUAAUGUGUAUAACCAUGUAAUUUUGGUAAAUGAUUAUAACACAACUUAAAACUGUUUCAAGGUGUGAUCCUGCAAAGCAUUAGUACAGUGAGUCCCAGUCACUCUUGCCUGUGUGUGUCCUAAGGUAUGAACUGGUUAUGGAGAACUGUACUUAAAAGGCUGGGAGAGAUUGAGGGGAGAGCAGCAUAUAAGGAGAGAAAAGAUGAAGAGUAAAAGCAGAAAAGUUCAAAAUGAUUGUCAAUUUUGUUUUUAAGCCCACAAACUUUGUGUUAUUUUGUAUAGAAGAUUUGUGGAAAAUAUUUUUAACAGGCAGGAACAAGACAAUAGACAUAGGAGGGGGUGAACAUGACCCUCCAAGUCAAGCAACCAAAAGUUAAUGAAAUUACCAAGUAUCAAAUGUAGCACAGAGAGACUAAUUCAAUCAGAGAGGCCAAAGGGAUAAUUCUUGGAGACAAAGCAUCACAACGCGGAAAUGCAGCCUAAUCAACUGCUUUAUCAAAAGAAAAAGGAAACAAUUUCCAAUCCUUAACUAAAAUCCCCAGUUGGUUCUUCAUCUUUUCAGGGUUCUGGUUUUUGUUUGCAGCGUUUGUUCCAUCUCACAUUUGUUUCACUGCUUCUGUUCUCUGCACAAAGCUGUUUCACUGGCUCCUGACUCUUCGCUUCUAUCAAACGAGCCGCCUCUGCUCUUGGUUUAAGAAACCAGCUUCAUCAUGAAAGAGAGCAUGUAGAGGGAAAUAUUCAUUAUGUUUAAUGUCCAAGCCUACUUCCCAUAAUUACGUAGAAUAGAGCAAGAAUACCCAGAGUCACCUUGUGUCUGCAGGAUUUUUCAGAGCAGGUAUUUGCUUCAUCUGAUGGAAAGCAGCUGCUCCCCGAUCUCAACUGAACCUCCCAUGUAACCAGGACCCUUUGCAGGUAGAGUAACACACCCAGACUUCGCCAGGUACAAGCAAGGGAGAGGCUUUCGGAAAGCUACUCAGACUUCUGUUUUCAUCUAAGCAAGUGGUGUUGUUAUGACAGAUAAAAUGAGCUGGCACAAAGGAAAGAAGGACCUCAUGGAAGGAAGCGCAGGAGAUGGGAAGCACGGCCGAAAAAAGCGAGAGCGGCUAUUUAAGAAGAGAUUUUCUGGACUGAGCCUUUUCUCUGGGUCUCCUAAGAAUAAAUUCCCUCAGGGAAGAAGUCAGCUUUUUGAAGACAAGAGGAGAUGUUUACACAGGAAAGGCUCCAAGAAGCUGAAGCCAGCACGGGAGGAAAUCUGUUCUUUGAGGCAGCCACACUCCGGGAAAAUGUGUCCGAAAUGCGAGAUCCUCAGCUGCCGGAAGUGCGAGACCCUGCACUCGGAGAGCGGCUUCAUUGCCCACAGCCUGCUCGACCACUAUGACAGGGGAGGAGCCACAGCCCACCUGUGACUGCAGAGGGGUGAUUAAAGAUCUGAUGGGGGUACCCUGCCAGUACCCAACCACAUCCCAAACGCUAAAGCUUGGAUCCCUCAGGCUCACUGGGUCUCCGGCCUGUGCAGCAUCAGCAAUUCCAGCCAUACUGUAGCUCAUACUAUACACAGCAGAUGCACAUGCAGUAAUUUAACCAGCAUGCACCCUGCAAGCAAAGAUCUGUAAGCUAAAAGUUUCUCAGCUACUAAGGACAAGGAAUUGUUUCAGAAAUAAUCUCCAGUUUUCUUUGUUCUCUCCAGGAAACAAGAUUAUCCCACUGAGCUGCAAAGAAGGACGUGACUAUUGCAUGCAGAACACUGGGUACAUUACUCUUACUUGCAAUGCCUUGGUAUGUUUCAGUAUUGUUUGUGGUCUGGAAUAUUAAACAUUUUAUUUUUAAAUUAACUAACUUGGGUAUGCACUUGAUGGGGGAAGGAGGCUUUCUAAAGGCCAUGAGGAUUGCAGAUCACAUCCAAACACCCUGCUAGAAUUUCUGACCUCUCACAGGCUUUCAACACCUCUCCUAUGAUUCAGCAUCUUGCCUUAAAAGAAGCAACAAGGAUCACAACUCUCAAAGUACUUAAGAU